rnacentral:tmRNA from 1 species
GGGGGCGUACCGGUUUCGACCGGAUGGCAAGAGGUUCGGAUUGCGUGUCGUGGUUGGUCGGCUGGCCACGUUAAAAGUCGACCAAGCUUCAAUUGCCGAAGCUCAGUUUUCUCUGGCUGCUUAACUAAGCAACCCCGAGCGAUGGCCCCAGUCGGAAGGGCCUCCCAAUCGGUCGCCAAAUCCGACUCGCCCCGGUUCACCGCCUGGUACGGCCGGGGUCAAAAAUGUUCCGGGCUGGCCUGUGACGCACCCUGUCGGCCGGGGACGCGCGGGCGAGACUCAAAUUGACCGAAUACACACGUAGACGUUCGUGCUGAAACAUCUCGGGACGCGGGUUCGACUCCCGCCGCCUCCACUG